UUUUGCGACACCGGCGGCGCUGGACUUCCCAGCGCCCCCGGCGGUAGCAGGAGGAGCGUGCGGUUAGGCGCGUUGGGCUUUCGGGGAGCCGCAGGCUGUGGUUGGCGGCUCUUCUGCGCCCACGGUCGGGAGCUGAGGUCCGCGGGGAGGGGAGGACAGGAACUAGCAUGGCUGGGUGAUGGCGCGACCGAUGUGACCGGAGAGCGCAGGAGCCGUCUCGGGCCUCGGCUUGAAACCCUCCGAGGCCCGUGGCCUGCAGAAGGGCCCCCUCCGAGGCCCGUGUAUUCUGGCUGUGGGAGAAACAGAACCAAGAAGUGGUCACUAGCUUGGAGAAGUUCACGUAGAACGGCACCCCAGACUUGCAAGGUGGCUUAUCUGUGUGACUUCUCAUUCAGCCUCUCUUCAUCUGAUUCCUGUACUCCAGCAAGAUCCUGAGAAGCUGCUGCUGCCAACCUGUAUGCCACAGCCACACUAUUGCAAACGGGGUUUUACUUUUUGCCCCAAAAGAUGUGUAAGGUAUAUUUUAAUUAAGAAAUAUGUUUGUUGGUUUCUUCUACAAUAUUCACCACCAGGCAUCAUCUCAGCCUCUUCCCUCUUGUAAGGCUGCCUGAGUCAUCCUG